AAGUCGUAACAAGGUUUCCGUAGGUGAACCUGCGGAAGGAUCAUUACAAAUAAAGCUGGCUACGGAAGUGUGGUCUUUGAUCUGGUAAGUGGUAGAGCGAACCAGUCCGGCUGCCUCCCGAAAUGCCUUACAUGUCCCCCACAGCCUGAAAGGCCGAAUUUACAACCCUUGAUUAUCUACACUUGUUGCUUUGGGGUGCUCAAGUGCCCCAGAGGACCCAACUCUCUUGCAUUUAGUGACGUCUGAGUACUAUAUAAUAUUUAAAA
rnacentral:misc_RNA from 1 species